rnacentral:rRNA from 1 species
UACGGAGGGGGCUAGCGUUGUUCGGAAUUACUGGGCGUAAAGCGCACGUAGGCGGCUUUGUAAGUUAGAGGUGAAAGCCCGGGGCUCAACUCCGGAAUUGCCUUUAAGACUGCAUCGCUAGAAUUGUGGAGAGGUAAGUGGAAUUCCGAGUGUAGAGGUGAAAUGCGCAGAUAUCAGGAAGAACACCUAUGGCGAAGGCAGCUCUCUGGGACGGUACUGACGCUGAGACGCGAAAGCGUGGGGAGCGAACAGG